rnacentral:rRNA from 1 species
UACGUAGGGUGCAAGCGUUAAUCGGAAUUACUGGGCGUAAAGCGUGCGCAGGCGGUGAUGUAAGACAGUUGUGAAAUCCCCGGGCUCAACCUGGGAACUGCAUUGAGGACUGUAAGGCUAGAGUGUAGCAGAGGGGGGUAGAAUUCCACGUGUAGCAGUGAAAUGCGUAGAGAUGUGGAGGAAUACCGAUGGCGAAGGCAGCCCCCUGGGUUAACACUGACGCUCAUGCACGAAAGCGUGGGGAGCAAACAGG